UACGGGGGGGAGCAAGCGUUGUUCGGAUUUACUGGGCGUAAAGGGCGCGUAGGCGGCGUGACUAGUCACUUGUGAAAUCUCUGGGCUUAACCCAGAAACUGCCGUUGAUACUAUUUGUCUUGAAUAUCAUGGAGGUAAGCGGAAUAUGUCAUGUAGCGGUGAAAUGCUUAGAUAUGACAUAGAACACCGAUAGCGAAGGCAGCUUACUACAUGUUAAUUGACGCUGAGGCACGAAAGCGUGGGGAGCAAACAGG
rnacentral:rRNA from 1 species